AGCUUUGCGCAGUGGCAGUAUCGUAGCCAAUGAGGAUUAUCCGAGGCGCGAUUAUUGCUAAUUGAAAAAAAAAAUCCAGUAUAGUCAACAUCAGUGUUAUGUGAGUUUUAAGUUGUGGUUUUGAUUUGCAUUUCCCUGAUGGUA